rnacentral:rRNA from 1 species
GAUGAACGCUGGCGGCGUGCCUAAUACAUGCAAGUCGAGCGAACAGACGAGGAGCUUGCUCCUCUGAUGUUAGCGGCGGACGGGUUAGUAACACGUGGAUAACCUACCUAUAUGACUGGGAUAACUUCGGGAAACCGGAGCUAAUACCGGAUAACAUGUUGAACCGCAUGGUUCAACAGUGAAAGACGGUCUUGCUGUCACUUAUAGAUGGAUCCGCGCCGCAUUAGCUAGUUGGUAAGGUAACGGCUUACCAAGGCAACGAUGCGUAGCCGACCUGAGAGGGUGAUCGGCCACACUGGAACUGAGACACGGUCCAGACUCCUACGGGAGGCAGCAGUAGGGAAUCUUCCGCAAUGGGCGAAAGCCUGACGGAGCAACGCCGCGUGAGUGAAGAAGGUCUUCGGAUCGUAAAACUCUGUUAUUAGGGAAGAACAAAUGUGUAAGUAACUAUGCACGUCUUGACGGUACCUAAUCAGAAAGCCACGGCUAACUACGUG